GAUAUUUUUGGGCUUAAUGGGCCAAAAUUGGAAUGAUGGGCCAACGGGCCCAAUUCGGAAAUCUCCAACCAUAGUGGGCUUGGAGCUGUGAGGGAAUUCGGAGUGGCCACCCGUUCUGAAAGUUUGGUUUUCUUCUGGUGAACUGGACAUCCUAUUAUUUACGUUGAGGUUUGGGUUUUUAAAUGUAAUAAGGCCGCUUAAUUA